AAAAAUGGACACACAAAGCGACGCGAGGCGACAAAACAGGCUCAACCAAACAAACAAACCAAACAAGCAACCGAGCCAAGCUAACACAAAAAAAAAAAAAAAAUAGCGAAAUAAAAUAGUAAUGAUAAUAUGGAGGGAAAAUCGGAAAAUGUGAGACAAUCCAGUGACAUCAUCAAAUCACUUUAAUUGCAAUCGCCGCCAAGCGACCUUUGAGUAUCUUUUGGAUGUGUGCUUCUGAAACGCAAGUGAAAUUGGCAGCGCUUUAUAUUGGAACAGGUGAAAUAAGAUAUUGGUAAGCAAGUUAGCGUGCAGUCACAGCAG
ensembl:ncRNA lncRNA:CR44129 long non-coding RNA:CR44129